GUAGUUGUGUUGAGAUUAGAAUAUCGUGGUUUGUUUUUUAAUUCAGACAUGUCUGCUCAUUUGUUAGUUUCGGGCGUGAGUCGAAAACACUUAUUUGAGCUUUUGAAUGAAAAUGGCUGGAUGGGAAGUGCCACUUCUUUAGUUGUGAG